ACAUGCAAGUCGAGCGGAUGACGGGAGCUUGCUCCUUGAUUCAGCGGCGGACGGGUGAGUAAUGCCUAGGAAUCUGCCUGGUAGUGGGGGACAACGUUUCGAAAGGAACGCUAAUACCGCAUACGUCCUACGGGAGAAAGCAGGGGACCUUCGGGCCUUGCGCUAUCAGAUGAGCCUAGGUCGGAUUAGCUAGUUGGUGGGGUAAUGGCUCACCAAGGCGACGAUCCGUAACUGGUCUGAGAGGAUGAUCAGUCACACUGGAACUGAGACACGGUCCAGACUCCUACGGGAGGCAGCAGUGGGGAAUAUUGGACAAUGGGCGAAAGCCUGAUCCAGCCAUGCCGCGUGUGUGAAGAAGGUCUUCGGAUUGUAAAGCACUUUAAGUUGGGAGGAAGGGCAGUAAGUUAAUACCUUGCUGUUUUGACGUUACCGACAGAAUAAGCACCGGCUAACUCUGUGCCAGCAGCCGCGGUAAUACAGAGGGUGCAAGCGUUAAUCGGAAUUACUGGGCGUAAAGCGCGCGUAGGUGGUUUGUUAAGUUGGAUGUGAAAGCCCCGGGCUCAACCUGGGAACUGCAUCCAAAACUGGCAAGCUAGAGUACGGUAGAGGGUGGUGGAAUUUCCUGUGUAGCGGUGAAAUGCGUAGAUAUAGGAAGGAACACCAGUGGCGAAGGCGACCACCUGGACUGAUACUGACACUGAGGUGCGAAAGCGUGGGGAGCAAACAGGAUUAGAUACCCUGGUAGUCCACGCCGUAAACGAUGUCAACUAGCCCUUGGAAUCCUUGAGAUUUUAGUGGCGCAGCUAACGCAUUAAGUUGACCGCCUGGGGAGUACGGCCGCAAGGUUAAAACUCAAAUGAAUUGACGGGGGCCCGCACAAGCGGUGGAACAAGUGGUUUAAUUCGAAGCAACGCGAAGAACCUUACCAGGCUUGACAUGCAGAGACUUUCCAGAGAUGGAUUGGUGCCUUCGGGAACUCUGACCAAGUGCUGCAUGGCUGUCGUCAGCUCGUGUCUGGAAUGUUGGGUAAGUCCCGUAACGAGC
rnacentral:rRNA from 1 species